UCUGCCCUUCAUCUCACAGCUCAGGUAAGACAAUCUACUGCAACAUCAUUAAGCAGGGCUGAGCCUGGUCAGUACCUGGAUGGGAGACCACACGGGUAAAAACAAGGUUAAUGUUGGAA
rnacentral:rRNA from 1 species